CCUACGGGUGGCAGCAGUGGGGAAUAUUGCGCAAUGGGCGAAAGCCUGACGCAGCGACGCCGCGUGAGGGAUGAAGGUCUUCUGAUCGUAAACCUCUGUCAGCAGGGAAGAACGGUCACUGUGCUAAUCAGCAGUGAAUUGACGGUACCUGCAAAGGAAGCACCGGCUAACUCCGUGCCAGCAGCCGCGGUAAUACGGAGGGUGCGAGCGUUAAUCGGAAUUACUGGGCGUAAAGCGCUCGUAGGCGGUAUGUCAAGUCAAGGGUGAAAGCCCCGCGCUCAACGUGGGAACUGCCUUUGAAACUGUCAAACUGGAGUGUGUGAGAGGAUAGUGGAAUUCCAGGUGUAGGAGUGAAAUCCGUAGAUAUCUGGAGGAACAUCAGUGGCGAAGGCGACUAUCUGGCACAUAACUGACGCUGAGGAGCGAAAGCGUGGGUAGCAAACAGGAUUAGAUACCCCGGUAGUC
rnacentral:rRNA from 1 species